GGACGGACCGCUAGUGUACCGGUUGUUCCGCCAGGAGCAUAAGCCGGGUAGCCAUGUUCGGAUUCGAUAACCGCUGAAGGCAUCUAAGCGGGAAGCGAGCCCCAAGAUGAGAUACCCCACUGCGUUAAGCAGAUAAGGUGUCCUGAAGAUGACAGGAUAGAUAGGUCGGGUGUGUAAGCGGGUAACGCCCGUUGAGCUGACCGAUACUAAUACACCGAAGCCUUAACCUC
rnacentral:rRNA from 1 species